rnacentral:rRNA from 1 species
UACGGAGGGGGCGAGCGUUAUUCGGAAUUAUUGGGCGUAAAGGGCGCGUAGGCGGCUUGAUGUGUCAAAGGUGAAAUCCCUCGGCUCAACCGAGGAACUGCGUCCGAUACUGGUGGGCUUGAAUCCGGGAGAGGGAUGUGGAAUUCCAGGUGUAGCGGUGAAAUGCGUAGAUAUCAGGAGGAACACCGGUGGCGAAGACGGCUACCUGGACAGAAACUGACGCUGAGGCGCGAAAGCUAGGGGAGCAAACAGG